GUUAGCCUCUCUCAAUGGGAUCGUAAAUAUGGGUUUAGUAGGUUUCUUUUUCUUGAUAAAGUUACUGAUGAAAGUCUCAAGAUUCAACAGGGGUAUGCUCAACAGAUGAAGAGAACAAUGAAGCUCAUCUUGCUUUGGGGACUACCCUGUUUCAUAGCGGAAUGUGCAUACAAGAUAUGAUCAGCAUUGAAGAUGUAUUGAAGGAGUUUACUUCUAAGAAAUGCGGUAAACUUGGGAAAUUGCUUAAGGAAAGUGGUAAUCAUGGGGUUUAGAUGAAACACAAAGAUUCUAGAGCACCGAAGCUAACUGUCAAGCAUGGCGUAAAAUUAUAUAUGAAGAAAGUGUUAUGACUUAGUUAAAAUAUAAUUUUUAUGUGUAUGAUUUUAUAAUACUUGAAAUAUUAUGA